rfam:Acetomicrobium mobile DSM 13181 chromosome, complete genome.
AUAUACAUUUUGCUCCGAGCCAUUUAACCUAAAGACCCUUCAUGGGCUCCAUGGUUUCUGGCCAAUGGGUAUCUUUGGAAACGAGGAUGCCUCCCAUGUUUGGAAAGGAGGAAAUGUUAAAGAAAG